rnacentral:lncRNA from 1 species
GGCCUUUCUUUCGUAUUUCCUGAUAACCCCCUGCAGAAAUAGACAAACACCAAAACUCGUGGAAUUCUGUCACAUAAAACCCUAAGUCUAGGUGUUAGUUGCAUUUGGAUCCUUUUCCAUGAUUAGUUGAUGGUUAAAUGUGAGCAUUAAGGACCGUCAACAAGCUCCCCCAAGAUUAACCUUUGCUCGUCCCUGAGCAAAGAUGAACUGAAGAGUUUCUGCAGUGGUUUCAUGCCUUAAAGAUAUACUUGUGUUCAAUUAAGAUCUCAUCUCUGGGUUAGGGUAAACUGUUAAGAUUUAAACUUACUCAUUGUACCUUCCACCAUGGGGCUUGCAACCGUCACUUGUGUCUUGAGCAGUUAAAAGAUAUAACGGUCUAGUCAAGCGCCAUGUCUCUUGUUCUUCGAUUAACUACAGCUCUGGAGUUUUUGCAGAUUUUUAGAUAAAACUCAGUGAUUCCUUGUAUGACUCUCUCUAGUCACUCUUUAGUGGUAUAAGACAUAGUGACAUUGUCUUCUCUCUCAUCCAACUCUAAUAAGGCUUUAAUAUCUGGAGCUCAUAGGUGGGAGACAGCUAAUACAUACUUACAAGACAUUUAUUGCAUAGUCGAACCAUGGAUCCAGAGAAACAAGUCAAUAAGUCAAAUCAAGAUGUGCAUGUGUUGCAAAUGAAUGGUGUAUGGUAAUGAUGGUGAUAACAAUGGUGAAAGUCUAAUUCUACUUUUGCUCUUUUGAGGGGAUACAUACCUUCCUUGCUCUUUUGAAACUUUUGGGAAGAAUGAGAUGCUCUGUAUUUUCUUUUUCUUUCCUCUCAGGUGGGCAUCUUGUACCCCUAAUUCUACUGUCGUACACUUGUGCAUUUUUACCUUUCGUCUCACCUUUUUCUUUUCUUUCGAGGUUCCGGGCACUUGCACCUUUUUAUUUCCUCGUAUCUUUUUUCUCUCUCUUUUUUUAGAGCACUCAUCUCUUGAAUUAAUGUAGCAAGUGGCAGUAACCAAGAUAACUUGUGCAUUAAUUUCACAGGGGAAAACAGAAAUGUUUUUGGCUAUUCUCUCCCGGAUUAGGAGUAGAAUAUUUUUGGGUGGUUCUGGAGAUGGAAAUGGGUGGAUAUAUGUGGAUGCGUACUUCCGGAGUAGAAGCAGCAUGUGUGAGUGAACGUGCAAGUGAAUCUUGAUUUUAACCACAUGACAAGCCGCUAAGGGUCUACACAGCUUGACCACACUCAAUGCUCAUAAGCAGUAAAGUAAAUGUAUGGUUCAUAGUCUAAUAAGCAUGUAUAUAUGGCUGUGGUAGGAAUUUAAACUCUCAUCAUACAGGAACUCAUCAUGCAAUAUUUUAAAGAUUUUCAAAGAUAAAAUUCUCCAGAAUUCUAGCAUCUCUAGGAACAUAUAAACAACAACUCAACCUUCCCAUAUCGUAUCUGUUAACGACUUAGACUUUAGAUCAAGUACUCUUCCCACAAGUUCAGGUUUAGAGCAAAUCUUAAUUCAUAACAGUCAUGCAUAAACUUGAGAGAGACUUCAAUUUUGAGAACUAGUCAUGGCAGAGCAACUAUUCAUCAUUUCCAUGUGAGAGCUUAUCAUGAGGGUUCAUAGCAGACUUUAUUUAUUUAUUUAUUUAGCAAACUAAGCAAAGAUAUAUGUAUAUGAGCACAAAAUCUUUAUUUGGGUUUUUAUGAUUAUGCAUCAUUUUAUUAUUUGAGUAAAGUAUAAACAUGAGUAGAACACUUAGCUAGAUAAAUGGGGGUGCUCUCCCCCAAGCUGGAUUUUGACAUAAUUCCUUCUGAUGUAGCUAGCAGGUGGCGAAGGUGUAUUUGAAUGUCGGCCGCACCCUGACAGCGAUUAGGAUGUCCUUCCUCUGCUAGUCUUCUUUGAUCCUUGAAUUCUAUGGAGCUCAAAUAGACAACAAAGCUUUGUGGAACUAGUUAAGUGUUAGCAUAAAUAUCUAGCCUUUAUCAUGUUGAGCCUCCUCAAUAAAUGUUACUCUCUUUAGUAGGAUCAUAAAUUUAUUUUUAUAAUUUUAUUUUUAUAGGACAGGAAUAUAUUUAUUUCAUUUUUACGCCACCAUAGUGAAUGUACUUAUAGGUUUUAUGCCAUGAGCAUACUCACAUGGGGCUUACUAUUUUUAUUUUAUUUUCAAGAUGAUAUGAACCUGAUUAACUAAGCGAACUAUUUUAAAUAAUAGAAAGGAAAAAGAUAACUACCAAGUUUACCUCUUGGCAAGGCGUUCGGUGUUUUCAAGUCCUCCGAAUGGGACUCUCCUGUAUUCUCAGUCGUCCUAGGAUUCGCUGGAUGGCGUAGUCGGUGGUUACGGCGGUGCAUGCUCUUCGUGUAUAACUAUCUUCUCUCUCCACACCUGACUCAGUGCUACGAUCUCCACAAGAUAGUUCUGUUCAAGUUGUAUGUCUUCAGACCUUACAACUUCUCAUUCAUAGUCUGCCCAUCCGUCCUUGAUGAUUUGCCUCCUCUGGUUGCGGUUGCGUCGUCUUCUUCUUGUCCUGACCUGCUUAGAGUCUUCAACUAUGUAGUUAGGGUCAAUAAAAUAGCGGCGUACCUUCUCAAAGGGGAAGUGCAUGUGGACUUCUCCGGUUCCAAUGUAGAUGAUUGCUUUAACGGUGCUGAGGAACGGUCUUCAAAGGAUGACGGGUGGAUUAAAUUCGUCUUCUCGCAUGUCAAUAACCUUUCGGAAUGUCUGAUCUGCCAUCCGGUGUCGCAAAGCGUCUUCUAGAAGUUGUAUCCAUUAAUGGAGCACUGGAUGGUUGGCACACCUGGGUCGUCCUUUUGAAUCAGGAACAGUGACUUAAGUCGACAAUCUUGACCUCCUUGAACUGCAGUGACCAUCUUAGCUGACUUGGUCCACAUUUGCUUGUUCCUGUCCCUCCUGUUGGUCCUCUUCCUUGGUUCAUGUCGGGAAUGCUAAGAUUUGUGUAGUCUUGUUCUUGAAGGAAAACGUCUCCUUCCUCCCCUUGAUGUAGAAUCUGAUCUUGGUAGCACUAGCGUAGAUGACAGUUCCUGAGGUAUUCAGGAAUGGCCUCCCUAGGAUGAUGAGUGCCCCCUCAUCAGAACCGGUCUCUGUCACCAUGAAGUCUGCUGGGGUGUACAAGGUACCAACUCGGACGCAGAGGUUCUUCAAUAUUCCCUUUGGGAAACAUAGUGUCUGAUCUGCAAGCUGCAAACACAUGGUUGUUUCUAAUAAAGGAUGUGUAAAGAAUUUUUCAUAGAGUACCCUGGGCAUAAUGUUGACACUAGAGCCAAAGUCGCAGAGUGCUUCUAGGAUGUCCACCAUGCCAAUGGAGAUCGGGAUGACGGGGCGUCCUGGAUUGUCUCUCUUGAAUGACAGAAGGUCAGUAAUUACUUCCACAAUGGGGUUACUCCAAUAGUUACGUCCUCAAGCAUCGCAGGGCAGUGAUUGCCUAAGUGUCCAGUAUCUCUAGUGUGUUUGUGCUCGUAGAUCUAGGUUCUUCACUUGGUGGAUGGGAGUUGUAAAAGUCCUUCAUAUUUCGCUCAAAGUGUACCUGCUCAUAGAAACAAGGCAGAGAUCAAGUGCAUGGGCCCUGUUGGUAGAACACACCAACAGAACCAAAAGUGUAUUUAUUCUUCUCUAACCUCAAGCGUAGUGAGCAAGACAAAUUUGAUGGAUAAUAAGAUCAUGAGUGUAGCAUUUAAAACAUUUGUCAGAUCAGAUCGUUCAACCUAAUGGAAAGAUAAUCUAUCUAUACUUAUGUUUUUUUAUAUAUAUCUUCCAAAGAUUGAGUGUGCAACCUUUUAGCUCAUAAGAAUAGGAGUGUGGGAUCACAAAGGUGGAAGGACUAAACAUGUUGAAUCGAUUGGGUUGGUUAAUCUAGAGUUGUAAAUCAUACAUGUUUGUCUCUUUUAUUCAUGUGAACGCUAGAACCAAGGAGAAGCUUAUAGAAGUGAAAGUCAAGUACCUUAAGAUGUUACCUUACUUGAAGAGUGAUGGUACAGUAUCACCUUAUGAAAGCUUUCCUUUCUUAGCGGUUAUGCAUCGUGUUUGUUACCUUACUUGAAGAGUGAUGCCUUUCUUGUGUAAAUUGUUAACCUUCAUGCGUCUCUCUCUUUGUCUCCAAUGUGAGUUUAUCUCAGGACUUCCCAGGUCGAUAUUGAAAGUUUUCCUGCAGGGGUUAGUCCAACAAAAUAUCCAAUAUCUACUAUAGCAUACUAUCGGCUCAAAAAUCAACCUAGACACCAUGUCUAAUUUGAUUUAGGAGGGCAUUUUAACCUAAGCACCAUGCUUAAUUUAAAAUCCCUUGGAAGUAAGAUCAUCAUUCCUAAACUAAGCACCAUGCUUAAUUAAGAGAUAAAUGAAACUACUCCAAACCUAGACAAAUACUAAAGCAAAUAAAGGUAGCAUGAGAGCAUUUAUAGAGAUCUACUCAAGUGUAGAUGAAGUAGUGUGAUUAGUAUUUAACAAAUUGAGGAUGUCUCAAAGGUAGGGUCAACCAACAUAGCAUCAUGGCAAAGGCUAUUUUUUUGUAAAGUACUCCCCCAAGCUUGGAUUUUGCAAAAUUCAAGUUUGGAUGAAUUUAAUUCAAUGUUGUAUGAUGAUUGGUUGGACAUACCUUGUGCUUGUCAUUCAUCCGAUCUUCUUGCUCCAAUCCUGGAAAGGUUAGUGACAAGAAUACCUGAAGGAAUAUUUUUACAAUUAUCCUUAUAUGCUCAAUACACAAGGUAAUGUUGCAAAUAAUUAAAAGCUCAUGUUACGAUUUGAUCAGUACUUAUUUUAGGACACUAAGCUUGUCCUUGGGAAACCAUCAAUUUAUGUCAGCGAAGUGGUUUCCCCUCCAACGCUGACCUAUCUCAAGAUCAACUCAACGAGAUCUGCAAUGUUUAUUAUAGACAUAUGCAUCGACAACAGCCCUUUUAAAGUUUUUAUAAAUAGAAAGGAAGAGGGGGUUGGAGAUCUCGAAUGUGGUGAUUUUGGAGAGACCAAAAGAUUGGGAAGAUGUUGCAUAUGAGCAUGGAGUAAAUGAAGUGGCUAUGAAAUCAAUUCCAUGCUCAUUAAUGCUUGGAGUGAAAUCCAUGUGGUGUGGUGAAAAUUGUAAGGUGAGUGUGGUAAAAAAGGAAAAGAAAAGGAUACACUGACGACUUGGUUAGAAACUAGCACAGCUACCGUUCCCCGGCAACAGCGCCAGAAAGCUUGUUGGGUAUUUUAAACGCAAAUAGAAAAAUCCGCAAGCACACGGAUACCGAUGUAGCCUUCACCCGAGAGUAUUCCAGAAUAUCGAUUUUCCACAGGGAACGUGAGUGUACUAAUUAAGAUUCAAGAUCGCCCAGGGAUAACUAUAUAAGUAUUUUUGGUGGGAAGAGAGGAAGUUUUCUUAGAGUUCUAUAGUUGAUCUAAGAAUCAAGAAUUACUUCAAGAUUAUCUAUUUUGGGACAUCAGAACACUAACCACAUAAAGAGAUGAGAAGGGGGCUAGGAAGCUCUGACUAUGGUCCUACAAACACCGAUCCGAACGAGGUGGAAUACUUCGAUCGUUAGGGCUGUCACUACCAUAGGGCUACCACAACAAUCCGCAAGAUUGGGUGCAAUUCCAGGUAAUUGCAAGACUAAACACCACGUCUAAUCUAUUAAUUUCUACUCUAAUGUUUCAAAGAUUAGAGCACUUGAUGCAAGCGGGAAUCCAAUAAAUAACUUGAAUGUAAAUAAAAGUAAUUAAAGAACUCAGGAAUUGUGAAUUGAAGAACCUGGAGAACGAUGAAGAAUGAACCAGAUGCUGCAAAAGUAUAAUGUUGAGUAAGAUCCGACAGAUCCGGCUCCUCCUCCACUCGCCUCUUAUCUCUCCCUAUUUUCUAGAUUACAACUAGAACUAACUAGAACUAGAACUAGAGGAACUAGAACUAGAUCUAGAUGAACCAGAACUAGAACUAGAUGAACUAGAGGGAUCCUCUCUACUUGGAUGAAGAAUUGAAAUCCUAACUUUGAUUCUGUAGAAGAGGUAUGCUCUCUAGGGGCUAGGGGGCCUUGCUUAUAUUGUCUUUUUAGGUGAAUCUGGGCCGUCGGAUCAAACCGACAUUGAUUGAACGGUUAUCCUUGAUCCUUUAGGUCGGUGGAGCAUGAUCCCCGAGUUGUACCCUAAUUGGGCAGAAUAGGAGGACGGGCGCCCUAAGGACUAGGGCGGGCGCCCUGUCCCUGAGCCCUCUCGGCUUUCGCUUUGUUCCCGUGGCUUCUGGAGUCUUCUAGAUGAUAGAAUAUGGCGCAGCAUGUUAAUAUCUCUAUGUAAACCCGACGUGUGGGCCUUUCUUCCGUAUUUCCUGAUAACCCCCUGCAGAAAUAGACAAACACCAAAACUCGUGGAAUUCUGUCAGAUAAAACCCUAAGUCUAGGUGUUAGUUGCAUUUGGAUCCUUUUCCAUGAUUAGUUGAUGUUAAAUGUGAGCAUUAAGGACCGUCAACACUCGUCCCUAAGCAAAGAUGGACUCAAGAGUUUCUGCAGUGGUUUCAUGUCUUAAAGAUACACAUGUGUUCAAACAAGAUCUCAUCUCUGGGUUAGGGUAAACUGUUAAUAUUUAAACUUACUCAUUUUACCUUCCACCAUGGGGCUUGUAACCGUCACUUGUGUCUUGAGCAGUUAAAAGAUAGAAUGGUCUAGUCAAGCGCCAUGUCUCUUGUUCUUUGAUUAACUAUAGCUCUGGAGUUUUUGUAGAUUUUCCAAUAAAACUCAGAGAUUCCUUGUAUGACUCUCUCUCUAGUCUCUCUUUUGUGGUAUUUCUGGAUCCUUAUCUAGGCGGUAAUGGUAUAUGCCAUCUCUCAAAGUAUGUGGUAUUUGUGGUACCAGGCAUAGUGGCAUUGCCUUCUCUCUCACCCUACUCUAAUAAGGUUUUUAUAUCUAGCGCUCAUAGAUGGGAGACAGCUAAUACAUACUAACAAGACAUUUAUUGCAUAGUCAAACCAUGGAUCCAGAAGAACAAGUCAAUAAGUCAAAUCAAGAUGUGCAUGUGUGGCGAAUGGUGUAUGGUGAUGAUGGUGAUAACAAUGGUGAAAGUCUAAUUCUACUUGUGCUCUCUUGAGGGGAUAGAUACCUUUCUUGCUCUUUUGAAACUUUUUGAGGAGAAUGAGAUGCUCUAUAUUUUCUAUUUCUUUUCUCUCAGGUGGGUAUCUUGUACCCCUAAUUCUACUAUUGGACACUUGUCCAUUUUUACCUCUCGUCUCACUUUUUCUUUUCUUUCGAGGUUCUGAGCACUCGCCCCUUUUUAUUUCCUCAUAUCUUCUUUUUUUUAGAGCACUCAUCUCUUGAAAUAAUGUAGCAAGUGGUAGUAACCAAGAUAACUUGAGCAUUUAUUUCACAGGGAAUAACAGGGAUAGGGUAUUAUUUUUGGCUAUUCUCUCUCGGAUUAAUAGUAGAAUAUUUUUAGAUGGUUCUGCAGAUGGAAAUGGGUGGAUAUAUGUGGAUGCGU